GUGCUCGCUCCCGCAGCGCAUAUACUAAAAUUGGAACAAUACAGAGAUUACCGUGGCCCCUGUGCAAGGAUGACACACAAAUUUGUGAAGUGUAAAAAAAUAAU